GCACGUACAUUGUAGUUGCAUAUCACUCAUUCUGAACGGGUUGGAAUCUGAUAAGUCGCAUUUCUUUGGGAAAAUGGAUACAACAAAGGAGCUAUUACAUCAAGUUUACCAACAUAAACAUAAACCAAAGGGCGGAAGGGCAGGGAUCAUAAGUCGCGUUCAUGGGCGGUAGUCGAAGAUGUAAAGACAAGGCUCCAAGGGUUUCGAGAUCAUGAAGCGAUGGCAGUAUGCCAUAUGAAUCAUAAAUCCAGUUAUUCUCUCAUAUAAUUUNNNNNNNNNNCAAAUCAUGAAGUGGUAGCAGUAUGCCAUAUGAAUCAUAAAUCCAGUUAUUCUCUCAUAUAAUUUUCAAGCCAUACUUGAUCACUUUUGUUGACAAAAUGGACCCAUCUUCUAAUUUAUGUGCGAUCCGAUGAUUAAAUACACAGN
rnacentral:lncRNA from 1 species